rnacentral:misc_RNA from 1 species
GCUUCAAGAUUGUUCUCCUGGUAUGUGAAAUCCUGUUGAGUUGCUUCUACAUUGGUCUCAUCUUCUGCCCUCAGAUGAAUCUGUGUUUGUAUCCUCUCAGUUUCUAACACUGUGCAAGUCCUUUCUCUCUCCAUUUCAUUCAUCUGAUAAUCGUUUUUGAGCAUGUUCUCAUUCUGUUUGGUCUCUUCCAGGUUCUCAUUGCCUUUUGUCCCACAAGCUUCUCUAAGCACCUUCUCACUUCCUUCCUUGUCCUGAAAGUCAUUAAAUCUCACCUUAAUUACUUCCUGUUCAUGAACUCGAACUAACUUCUCAGCAUCCUCUGGCUUGGCAUCACUUAAUUUCUUCUCAUUUUCUUCCCAGUAUGAACCCUCUUGCCAUUUCAUUUCACUUGCUACCCUGUCCAAAUAUUCUUUCUCUCCCUUCCCAUUUCCUUCAUGGCUAUGAAUUUCAUCUAGUCUCCUCUCAUUCUCCUGUAUAACUGGAACUUCAUUUGAUCUAUUCUCCAUUUCCACAUGAUUGUGUGCAUCUCUUUGUUCCUUCUCAAAUUUCACACUAUUCUGAGCCUCUUUUAGUUCCUU